AGCGAAAUCAGGGGGAGGGGAAUGGAGUUGGGUUUUGUCGCGUACGAAGAAAGGAUCGAUCUUUGUCGUUCGAUUGGCUGAUAUUUAACAAAAGGGCUUGUGGGUAUCUGUGGAAUCCUCUUGGAAAAUUUGUAAAAAUAGAAAAAAGGGGUUCCUCGGUUUUCUUUGAUAAAGUAGCGACGGAUUGAUCCUCUCGCCCUCCCGUUGCUCUUCGUCUCCCCUGAAUGCCUUAACCAGUGUUCAGGAAAAUUGUGGCAAUUUUUGUGCGGAGGAGCGAGGGAUUUUGUAGGUUAUGAUGGAUCCAGUGGGUAUGAGUUGAACCUACUAUGUGAUUGUCAUCAGCAAGUCAACAUUAAUGAAGCUAGUGUGGAACUGUACAUAGGCACCUGCAUUAUUUGGU